UAUCUUUAAGAGGAUAUGACGCUGAUAUUUUGUGUUCUCUAGGAUCCUUGUCAAUUUAUACUGUCCAUCUUCUAGAGGAAAUGACGCUGACAUUUUGUGUUCUAUAUAUGAGCCUUGUCGAUAUUGUCGGUGUGACAAUGUUUGUUCUUUUCAUUGUUGCCAUGGUCAUCAUUCUACUGCCCAGAAGAAUAACCAGAACCCAAGGAAUAACAGUGAAGAGGGAUUGUCGGAUGAGAACUGCUCCCCUUAUGCAGUAGGCCAGGGAGAGCAGGAAGAAGCGGUCUACUCACUUGCACAGCUGAGUCAGACCUGUCAGGAGAUGAGGGUGUCAUGAAGAGCAACCCAAUAUAUGAAACCUCACUGUACUAGGCUAUAUGUAGUCAAUGUACUGUCUGCUCCCUAUAAAUUCCUAAAGCAGCUACAGUCCACUCCAUGUGAUCAAGUUUAAGUUAGUUAAGGUUAAAGACUCGAAGCCGACUCGAUCGACUGAAUGUCAGGCGGACAAACUAGGUCCCGCAUCCAAGUCCAAGCUGGGUUCUAUAAAGCGCAUUGGGACA